rnacentral:rRNA from 1 species
CUUGGGCCUUAUGGCCAUAAUUCUAUUGCCAUAAUGAAUAUUGCAUGCAUUAACUACCGGGACCCUAGCGACUGGGAUAACAUAGGGAAACUUAUGCUAAUACCGGAUAGGUUUUUGGAUCGCAUGGUCCGAAAAGAAAAAGGCGGCUUCGGCUGUCACUGGGAGAUGGGCCUGCGGCGUUACAUUAGCUAGUUGGUGGGGUAACGGCCUAGGCGACGAUGCGUAGCCGACCUGAGAGGGUGACCGGCCACACUGGGACUGAGACACGGCCCAGACUCCUAUACGGGAGGCAGCAGUAGGGAAUUUGCCACAAUGGACGGAAAGUCUGGGAUGGAGCAACGCCGCGUGGGAAAGGUCUUCGGAUUGUAAAGUUCUGUUGUCAGGGACGGAACAAGUACCGUUCGAAUAGGGCGGUACCCCGCCGGUACCUGACGAGAAAGCCACGGCUAACUACGUGCCAGCAGCCGCGGUAAUACGUAGGUGGCAAGCGGUCAGGAAUUAUUGGGCGUAAAGCGCGCGCAGGCGGCUAUGUAAGUCUGGUGUUAAAGCCCGGGGCUCAACCCCGGUUCGCAUCGGAAACUGUGUAGCUUGAGUGCCAAGAAGAGGAAAGCGGUAUUCCACGUGUAGCGGAAUUGCGUAGAGAUGUGGAGGAACAAGCAGUGGCGAAGGCGGCUUUCUGGUCUGUAACUGACGCUGAAUGUCGAAAGCGUGGGGAGCAAACAGGAUUAGAUACCCUGGUAGUCCACGCCGUAAACGAUGAGUGCUAGGUGUUGGCGGGUUUCAAUACCCUCAGUGCCGCAGCUAACGCAAUAAGCACUCCGCCUGGGGAGUACGCUCGCAAGUGAAACUCAAAGGAAUUGACGGGGGCCCGCACAAGGGCUUAAAGCUAAUAAGGAUUUACCC